GCUAGCGUAGCUUAAUACAAAGCAUAGCACUGAAGAUGCUAAGAUUAUUCCUAAAAAACUCCUCAUGCA
rnacentral:tRNA from 1 species